rfam:Oryza glumipatula chromosome 2, whole genome shotgun sequence.
AAAAAGACAAACCCUAAUUUCCGUGUCCAACGUUUGACCGUCCGUCUUAUUUGAAAAAAUUAUGAAAAAAAUUAAAAAGAUAAGUCAUACGUAAAGUAUUAAUCAUGUUUUAUCAUCUAACAAUAAUGAAAAUACUAAUUAUAAAAAUAUUUUAUAUAAGACGGACAGUUAAACGUUGGCACGGAAAUUCAGGGUUUGCCUUUAUU